UUUCACCCCUGUUCUCAAGGCUUGAACUGACUUAAACAUCAAAAGAUCAAGAACCAAAGGAUCUCCAUCUAGUUUCUUGACUGAUUUUGUAGAUUGGAGGAGUUUUCAUUAGGUCGCAAUGGUCACUUCAGCCCAAUUUUACCCAAAUCGAUCCACUCUACUCUAGAUUUCGAGUCCUGUAGCAAUAUCAUCCGAAUCUAUUUUCGU
rnacentral:lncRNA from 1 species